rnacentral:rRNA from 1 species
AUUGAACGCUGGCGGCAGGCCUAACACAUGCAAGUCGAGCGGAAGAAGAGAGCUUGCUCCUGGAUUCAGCGGCGGACGGGCGAGUAAUGCCUAGGAAUCUGCCUGGCAGUGGGGGCUAACGUCCGGACACGGGCGCUAAUACCGCAUACGUCCUGAGGGAGUAAGUGGGGGAUCUUCGGACCUCACGCUAUCAGAUGAGCCUAUGUCGGAUUAGCUAGUUGGUGGGGUAAAGGCCUACCAAGGCGACGAUCCGUAACUGGUCUGAGAGGAUGAUCAGUCACACUGGAACUGAGACACGGUCCAGACUCCUACGGGAGGCAGCAGUGGGGAAUAUUGGACAAUGGGCGAAAGCCUGAUCCAGCCAUGCCGCGUGUGUGAAGAAGGUCUUCGGAUUGUAAAGCACUUUAAGUUGGGAGGAAGGGCAGUAAGUUAAUACCUUGCUGUUUUGACGGUACCAACAGAAUAAGCACCGGCUAACUUCGUG